rnacentral:pre_miRNA from 1 species
UUCUUAAAUUAAAGUCACUAGUCGGAUGGUUUGUUUUAGCCUGAGCUAUGUAUUAAAGCACAUGCAUAGCUACUUGUUAAAACAAACCAAUCGAACGAGUCGACAUUUCCA